AUGGAGAGGCACCGGAGGAGCCGAGCUGACACGGCUGCAGCAUCAAGACACAUCCCCCCUUGGCCUGUCAGCGCGAGAGCUGAAGGGGAAAGAGGACACAGCCAGGGCCACCACCGGGGGGGUCCAGACGUGGCGGAGGUGACAUCUCUCCCUGGGGGCCUGGACCUUGAUGGACUGUGGGGACUUCCUGGGCCCAGGCCUCUCCUGCAGGACGGGACAGGGAUGGAUGAGGCUGAGCUCAAAGAAAGCAUCGCAACAGUGAGAUCUGGUUUGUAUGUGAGGUGGCGCUGGGAUGGAUUGAUGCGGCCAGAGACACGUUUCGCCCUGAGCCCUCACCUUUCAAAGGGGCUGGGGGGCUGCCCCAAGCUGCUGCAGAUGGGACCCCUCCAGUUAUUUUUUCUGGAUGCCCUGGUGACGUGGGCUGUUGCGACUGUGCUGCCGGACGUCCUUCUGCCCCAGGCCAUCCUCGCUGUUAGUGCCUCAGGCCAAUGGGCGAGCUGGAGAAGGCAAUGGGCAUCCCACCUCCCUGUACCCAAUGGAUUCCUUAUGUUGUAUCAAACAAGCCUUUUUGCUGCUUACCCUGUUGUUGCUUUGUUCUGUGGGGGCCCCACAGGGUAUAGGAGAGCACAUACCCUGCACAGAGCUUCAGCCUCUGUUAAUCCUGUCUUUGGUAUCCCCCUAAAUCUGCCAGUAUCCCACAGCUGGGGUCUGAAGCCCCCUGCUCCCAUCCCGAGCCUUUCUGGUCACCCAUCACGCUCAGCCCGUGCCCCCAGGUGUUCCCAUGGCGGCUCUCGUGCUGGCGACCUGGAAGCAAAGCUGCCUGGAUUUGCAGGUGGCAACGGCAGGAACGGGAAAGGAGAGCUCCUGAUGGGGCUCUGCCCCGACAGGCAGCGCAGACACAAGUGCCUCGAGCCACCGGGCUCCGCAAGCCAGAGCCUGAGCCGAAGCCCGGCUACCAGAGGCACUGCAGAUCGUCUCGGAGAUUGCCCAGCUGCGUGGGAAUUUGGGAUCGCAGCAUGCUGUCCCCCUGGGCUGCGGCAGCCAGCCUGA
rnacentral:lncRNA from 1 species